GACGAACGCUGGCGGCGUGCUUAACACAUGCAAGUCGAACGGUGAAGCGCCUUCCUUUUUGGUGGGUGUGGAUGAGUGGCGAACGGGUGAGUAACACGUGAGUAACCUGCCCCCUUCUUCUGGAUAACCGCAUGAAAGUGUGGCUAAUGCGGGAUAUUCUGGGUCUGUCGCAUGAUGGGUCUGGGAAAGAUAUUGUUUCGGUGGGGGAUGGGCUCGCGGCCUAUCAGCUUGUUGGUGGGGUGAUGGCCUACCAAGGCGGUGACGGGUAGCCGGCCUGAGAGGGUGGACGGUCACACUGGGACUGAGACACGGCCCAGACUCCUACGGGAGGCAGCAGUGGGGAAUAUUGCACAAUGGGCGCAAGCCUGAUGCAGCGACGCCGCGUGAGGGAUGGAGGCCUUCGGGUUGUGAACCUCUUUCGCCAGUGAAGCAGGCCUGCCUCGUUUGUGGGUGGGUUGACGGUAGCUAGAUAAGAAGCGCCGGCUAACUACGUG
rnacentral:rRNA from 1 species